rnacentral:rRNA from 1 species
AGUGAACGCUGGCGGUAGGCCUAACACAUGCAAGUCGAACGGCAGCACAGUAAGAGCUUGCUCUUACGGGUGGCGAGUGGCGGAAGGGUGAGGAAUACAUCGGAAUCUACUUUUUCGUGGGGGAUAACGUAGGGAAACGUACGCUAAUACCGCAUACGACCUGCGUGUGAAAGCAGGCGCUCUUCGGAACUUGCGCGAUUGGAUGAGCCGAUGUCGGAUUAGUUAGUGGGCGGGGUAAAGGCCCACCAAGGCGACGAUCCGUAGCUGGUCUGAGAGGAUGAGCAGCCACACUGGAACUGAGACACGGUCCAGACUCCGACGGGAGGCAGCAGUGGGGAAUAUUGGACAAUGGGCGCAAGCAUGAUCCAGCCAUACCGCGUGGGUGAAGAAGGCCUUCGGGUUGUAAAGCCCUUUUGUUGGGAAAGAAAAGCAGCAGUUUAAUACCCCGCUGUUCUGACGGUACCCAAAGAAUAAGCACCGGCUAACUUCGUG